GAUGAACGCUAGCUACAGGCUUAACACAUGCAAGUCGAGGGGAAACGACAUCGAAAGCUUGCUUUUGAUGGGCGUCGACCGGCGCACGGGUGAGUAACGCGUAUCCAACCUGCCCACCACUUGGGGAUAACCUUGCGAAAGUAAGACUAAUACCCAAUGAUAUCCCACGAAGCCAUCUGAAUGGGAUUAAAGAUUUAUCGGUGAUGGAUGGGGAUGCGUCUGAUUAGCUUGUUGGCGGGGUAACGGCCCACCAAGGCAACGAUCAGUAGGGGUUCUGAGAGGAAGGUCCCCCACAUUGGAACUGAGACACGGUCCAAACUCCUACGGGAGGCAGCAGUGAGGAAGAUUGGGCAAUGGGCGAGAGCCUGAACCAGCCAAGUAGCGUGCAGGAAGACGGCCCUAUGGGUUGUAAACUGCUUUUAUAAGAGAAUAAAGUGGGUCACGUGUGACUUUUUGCAUGUACCUUAUGAAUAAGGACCGGCUAAUUCCGUG
rnacentral:rRNA from 1 species